GAUGAACGCUGGCGGCGUGCCUAAUACAUGCAAGUCGAGCGAACAGACGAGGAGCUUGCUCCUUUGACGUUAGCGGCGGACGGGUGAGUAACACGUGGAUAACCUACCUAUAAGACUGGGAUAACUUCGGGAAACCGGAGCUAAUACCGGAUAACAUAUUGAACCGCAUGGUUCAACAGUGAAAGACGGUCUUGCUGUCACUUAUAGAUGGAUCCGCGCCGCAUUAGCUAGUUGGUAAGGUAACGGCUUACCAAGGCAACGAUGCGUAGCCGACCUGAGAGGGUGAUCGGCCACACUGGAACUGAGACACGGUCCAGACUCCUACGGGAGGCAGCAGUAGGGAAUCUUCCGCAAUGGGCGAAAGCCUGACGGAGCAACGCCGCGUGAGUGAAGAAGGUCUUCGGAUCGUAAAACUCUGUUAUUAGGGAAGAACAAAUGUGUAAGUAACUAUGCACGUCUUGACGGUACCUAAUCAGAAAGCCACGGCUAACUACGUG
rnacentral:rRNA from 1 species